rnacentral:rRNA from 1 species
UGGGGAAUAUUGCACAAUGGGCGCAAGCCUGAUGCAGCCAUGCCGCGUGUAUGAAGAAGGCCUUCGGGUUGUAAAGUAAUUUCAGCGGGGAGGAAGGGAGUAAAGUUAAUACCUUUGCUCAUUGACGUUACCCGCAGAAGAAGCACCGGCUAACUCCGUGCCAGCAGCCGCGGUAAUACGGAGGGUGCAAGCGUUAAUCGGAAUUACUGGGCGUAAAGCGCACGCAGGCGGUUUGUUAAGUCAGAUGUGAAAUCCCCGGGCUCAACCUGGGAACGGCAUCUGAUACUGGCAAGCUUGAGUGUCGUAGAGGGGGGUAGAAUUCCAGGUGUAGCGGUGAAAUGCGUAGAGAUCAGGAGGAAUACCGGUGGCGAAGGCGGCCCCCUGGACGAAGACUGACGCUCAGGUGCGAAAGCGUGGGGAGCAAACAGG